rnacentral:rRNA from 1 species
CACGUAGGCACCAAGCGUUGUCCGGAUUUAUUGGGCGUAAAGAGCUCGUAGGCGGUUCGGUUAGUCGGGUGUGAAAACUUUGGGCUCAACCCAAAGCGUGCACUCGAUACUGCCGUGACUAGAGUUCGGUAGGGGAGUGGGGAAUUCCUAGUGUAGCGGUGAAAUGCGCAGAUAUUAGGAGGAACACCGAUGGCGAAGGCAGGUCUCUGGGCAUUAACUGACGCUGAGGAGCGAAAGCGUGGGGAGCGAACAGG